rnacentral:lncRNA from 1 species
CCUGAGAUCAUGACCUGAGUCAAAAUCAAGAGUCAGCCACUUAACUGACUGAGCUACCCAGGAGCCCCUAAAAGUGGUCUUUUUUUUUUUUUUUGGUGGAAAUUAUCUCCAUAAUUACAACUUUCAAAUCUAUCUCUAGGUGUUCUAAAACUGCAAACAAUGACCCUGUCUUAAUACUGCAGACAUACCCUAGUGCAACUAAGGGGAACUUAACUUACCGAUGAGAAUACAGUCCAUGAAUGCUUUCAUUCAGAUGAGAAGUGAUGGGACCUUCCUGGUUGAGACAAUUUU